GCCUUGGUAGUAUAGGUCGGUCCAGUAUAAGCGGCUGUCGCCCGCUCGACCCGGGUUCGAAUCCCGGCCAAGGCGCCA
rnacentral:tRNA from 1 species